AAAUAGCCCCCUAUGUUUUGAUUCUUUGGCAGUUUUAGACCCCCAAGGCAAAAAAAAAUAAAAAAAUUGACACGUGGCACCUCACUUAGGGUGCCACGUCAGCGUUGACCGAGUCAACAAUGGACCGGGGGUCCAAAAUUGCCAAAGAAUCAAAACAUAGGGGGCUGUUU
rfam:Medicago truncatula strain A17 chromosome 1, whole genome shotgun sequence.